AAGCGCAUAUGGCAAAACCGGAGCAAUCCGGCGACGCAAAACUAAAGGGACUUCGCUAAGAAGUCAGCCAGUUGCCCGG
rnacentral:ncRNA from 1 species